rnacentral:rRNA from 1 species
CCCUUAGAUGUUCUGGGCCGCACGCGCGCUACACUGAUGCAUUCAACGAGUUUCUUCCUGGUCCGAGAGGAAUGGGUAACCUUUUGAAAGUGUAUCGUGAUAGGGAUAGACUAUUGCAAUUAUUGGUCUUCAACGAGGAAUUCCUAGUAGACGUAGUUCAUCAGACUGCAUCGAUUACGUCCCUGCCCUUUGUACACACCGCCCGUCGCUCCUACCGAUUGAGUGGUCCGGUGAGGCUUUGGGAUCUGAGCGGAAAGAGCGUUUCGCUGUUUCUGCUCGGAAAACUCAGUCGAACCUUAUCAUUUAGAGGAAGGAGAAGUCGUAACA